rnacentral:rRNA from 1 species
GACGAACGCUGGCGGCGUGCUUAACACAUGCAAGUCGAACGGAAAGGCCCUGCUUUUGUGGGGUGCUCGAGUGGCGAACGGGUGAGUAACACGUGAGUAACCUGCCCUUGACUUUGGGAUAACUUCAGGAAACUGGGGCUAAUACCGGAUAGGAGCUCCUGCUGCGUGGUGGGGGUUGGAAAGUUUCGGCGGUUGGGGAUGGACUCGCGGCUUAUCAGCUUGCUGGUGGGGUAGUGGCUUACCAAGGCUUUGACGGGUAGCCGGCCUGAGAGGGUGACCGGCCACAUUGGGACUGAGAUACGGCCCAGACUCCUACGGGAGGCAGCAGUGGGGAAUAUUGCACAAUGGGCGGAAGCCUGAUGCAGCAACGCCGCGUGCGGGAUGACGGCCUUCGGGUUGUAAACCGCUUUCGCCUGUGACGAAGCGUGAGUGACGGUAAUGGGUAAAGAAGCACCGGCUAACUACGUG